CCUACGGGAGGCAGCAGUGAGGAAUCUUCCACAAUGGGCGAAAGCCUGAUGGAGCGACACCGCGUGAAGGAUGAAGGUUUAACGAUUGUAAACUUCUUUUCUGGAGGAGCAUAAUGAGAGUACUCCAGGAAUAAGGGGCGGCAAAUCACGUGCCAGCAGCCGCGGUAAU
rnacentral:rRNA from 1 species